rnacentral:tRNA from 2 species
UCCUUCAUAGUGUAGUGGCUAUCACGGUUCGCUUUCAAGCUUGUAAGAGUUUAAAAGUUCCGAGCAGACCGGGGUUCGAUUCCCCGUGAGGGAG